UCCCCGCCAACCGAGCCGCAACCCCUGCCAUUCAGUUGCCCAUCGGGUAAUGCCGGGCACUCUGGAAGGACUGCCAUCGACAAGAUGGAGGAAGGUGGGGAUGACGUCAAGUCCAUCAUGGCCCUUAUGUCCAGGGCGACACACGUGCUACAAUGGCCGGCACAACGGGAAGCGAGUUCGCGAGGACGAGCGGAUCCCUCAAAGCCGGUCGCAGUUCGGAUUGAAGUCUGCAACUCGACUUCAUGAAGCUGGAAUCGCUAGUAAUCGUGGAUCAGCCAAGCCGCGGUGAAUACGUUCCCGGGCCUU
rnacentral:rRNA from 1 species